GAUUUCUGGUUUAAUGCACCUGGCCCGCGGCCAAUAGGCUUGUGAGUGCCGGCGCGCGUUUACCAUCCUUCUAGAAAACGAUUCUGCCAUUCACUUGGUUGGGACCGCGAUCUAGAUCUUUUACUUUGAAAAAAUUAGAGUGUUUAAAGCAGGCUUUUGCUAUGAAUACAUUAGCAUGGAAUAAUAAUCUAGGACUUCGGUUCUAUUUUGUUGGUUUCUAUAACUGAAGUAAUGAUUGAUAGGGAUAGUUGGGGGUGCUAGUAUUGGCCGGCCAGAGGUGAAAUUCUUGGAUUCGGUCAAGACUAACUUAUGCGAAAGCAUU
rnacentral:rRNA from 1 species